GUGGCGGUGCGGAAUAAAUCGCAGAAAUUCCUUACCGCAUAAGGCUCAGUAUAGCAGCUAUAAUUUACAAGAUCAUCUAACUAGUUACUUGGAUAACUGUGGAAAAUCUAGAGCUAAAACAUGCAAAAUGCAAGAACCUCGCAGAACUUGUGCAAUUAAUAGUCAAACCAAAUUUCAUCGGAAUCCGAUUUGGAUUGCAGCAGAGCAGGAA
rnacentral:ncRNA from 1 species